AGCAAAUCCGAAUAAAUGGUGAGCUCAUGCAAUUUUGUUUUGAGUGCCGGCCAUUGUGGCAUUUCACUACUUUUUUUUUACCACGAAACUGUGGGCUUUCUUUGUCUGAGAAACAGUCUACCCACUUAUUUAACAAAUAACUAAAUUUUUGGUAUGCAAAUCGAAAGUGAAGGCUCCGGCUCCCCCACUUCGCAGAACAAAGUGAAAUUUAAUUUUCAUGCGCCCAGCAUACGACGAGCCAAAUGCCUCCAGAUCGGGGUCACCACCCAGUAACGUGCGUGUCGCAACUGCAAAACAAUGGACAACUCGCCCCCAGUGUUUAGAUUUUAUGUAUUUGUGCACUACUAAUUAAUAUAGAUACCGCUUCAUAUGCUAAACAUUUUAA